UUUCUGCCUGGUGAUUGGCUGCAUCGCCUGCCGUUGGCUUCAUAAGUCCCGCCUCACAGAUGAUAAGGAGGCAGGGCUUUCCUUACCCCCUCUACCUGCAGAUCAUGUGACUGUGACUCUAAGCCCCUCCCCUUCCAUCAACACUCUGCCAAUCAAACAGCAGUAUGAGGAGCUGGACGGAGACGUGCUGGACUAUCCCUCAUUUAACAGCAGCUCGACGCCGUCAGAAGACGAUCUUUCUUUACCAUCUUAUCCUCACAAGUCUCGUUUCAAUCUACGGCGGCUCAGCUCCCCCGCCGUUCCCUACAAACCCUCUAAACCUGUCCGUGGUCGUUCCUCGCUCCCGACCAUUCCUAAGCUCGGCCUGGUUGGGAAGUCGUGCCGGGCGGUUGAUCACAAAAGCAGUGACAACGUUUCGUUUUCAGAAAGGAGCAGGCUGAACGCCGACAGCGGCCAACAUUACGGCUCCGGCUCUCAAAAACCCACACCUUCCCUUCACUUCACCCUUCUGUUCUCACCAGCUGAGGGCAAACUCACCAUCACCGUUCUGGGUCUCUACCGGGGCUCUAGGAAACUGAGCAGGACUACGGUUAGGGCCUGUCUGCCUCCGCUCUGCCCCACGCCGCUUCAGGGCGGCCCGACGCGCAGACACAGCCUCGGUCCGGAGGCUCCAGCACAGGUGUUCCAGCUGCAGGUGAGGUCGGCAGAGGAGCUUCAGCACUGCACGCUCAGGCUGACCGUGUCCAGCAGGGAUUUCUCAGGUCUGAGGGAGACGGCUGUGGGUGAACUCGAACUGGCAUGUGCUGAAAUCCACUGGGAACCCGACUGCACCGUCACCUUUAAUCGUCAACUCAACCCUGUGAGGAGGAGGCUGAGGAAGAGUCAGAGUUCCCAGGAUGCAGUGGGGGACGUCGGGGCUUCUGCUUGUCCGGUGCGCUUUCUGGGUCAGAUCCUGAUUCUGCUGCAGUAUCAGACGCUGGCGCAUCGCAUGAAGGUGAUGGUGAGGAAAGCUGAGAACCUCCCCA
rnacentral:lncRNA from 1 species